AAUGUGUGCCUGCUUUUUUAUAUCAUCAUACCCUGAAAGACUUGUUUCAAAUGAUUUUUAUAAUCAUAGCGAUGAAUAUUGCAGAAUUAAAUUUGCUCUCUGCUUCACAGCUCCAAAAGCAAAGGCAGCGGCUGUCAACAUACCCAAAACGAGAAGAUCUCGAGCCUCAGAGGACAUGGAAGUGUCAGCUGCUCCAGCUCCGAUACAGGAUCUUCCUAUGUGCCGACCAACACCUGUGUACUGCCCAGCGCCACCUGGCUGGUAUGUGCAUCAUAUAGUAACAAGUAGCCCAUUACCACCAUCGGCUAUUCCAGAAUCAGAAGUUCCGAUUUUAACAACUCAUCAAGCUCCUACUUUACUGAAAGAACCAGAAGCUGUUAAGGCAAAGCCAAAACAAGCCACUAAAAAGAAAGAACCAGCUGCGGCAAAAGAAAAAGCCAAAGCAGGUCCUGCGAAGAAGGAGCCCACAGUUACUAAAGCCAAAGUAAAACCUGCAGUGGCAAAGAAAGGGCCAAUCGCUGUGAAAGAGAGGUCUAAAAGGACAGAGCGAGUGAUCACUAAAGAAAAGGCAAAACCUACCUCUACUAAGAAAGAUCCAGCAGUAACAAAGGCGGCAAGAGUAACAACAACCUCACAUAAAGAAGAGAAAGCUAUAAAGGAAGUGAAGCCCAAAGCAGAGGUCAAGAAAAAGGCCGCAUCAACACCAAAAGCCAAACAAGCUAUUAAAGUUGUGGGAAAACCUGUUCCAGAUGAGAAGAAAACGGCAGAAGAAACAAAAGAGAAAGCAGCCGAGGCACCAGCACCAGCAAAAGAUCUGAAACCAGAGGAAAAUGUCACAGAAGGCAAAAAGCCAGGCAAGAUACCGUACUUCCAGUGUGUUUUAAUGAGUUCAAAAUCCAGCCAGUAUCCACUCCGGCCCAUGUCCCCUGCUAUGAGUCCAGCUAUUAACCCAACCAUGAUGAGAGCCAUGAUGGAGCAGAGGGCCGCAUUACUGCAGCAGAAAGCCCGUGCAGCUGGACAUAGCUUGGCAUUGACAAUAAUUGGCAGAUCCCUUCCAGUGCCACUGUUGAAGACCUCUGGCCUAGACAGACAUCAAACUGUGUGGAUUUACUGUAAAAUAAUAAAACAGAUGUAUGUGUAUAAUAUUUGACUUUACUUUGACCAACAGUGAUUUUCAAGAUGGUGAUCUGAGGUCACUGUCCAUUCUUGUUCCUGUAACAUAUUGCACCGUUCAGUGCAAAUAUUGCGG
ensembl:lncRNA